rnacentral:rRNA from 1 species
UACAGAGGGUGCAAGCGUUAUCCGGAAUUAUUGGGCGUAAAGAGCUCGUAGGCGGUUUGUCGCGUCUGCUGUGAAAACCCGAGGCUCAACCUCGGGCCUGCAGUGGGUACGGGCAGACUAGAGUGCGGUAGGGGUGACUGGAAUUCCCGGUGUAGUGGUGAAAUGCGUAGAGAUCGGGAGGAACACCGGUGGCGAAGGCGGGUCUCUGGGCCGUAACUGACGCUGAGGAGCGAAAGCAUGGGGAGCGAACAGG